rnacentral:rRNA from 1 species
GAUGAACGCUGGCGGCGUGCCUAACACAUGCAAGUCGAACGGAGACCCGCCUCUAAGACCUUCGGGUCGAAGAGGGGAAGACUGAGUGGCGGGCGGGUGAGUAACACGUGGGCAACCUGGCACACAGAGGGGGAGAACAGAGAGAAAUUUCUGCUAAUACCGCAGGAGCACACACUGCCGCAUGGCAGAGGGUGAAAGGAGAAGCGCUAGGAGAUGGACGCGCGUCUGAUGAGCCAGUUGGCAGGGUAAGAGCCUACCAAAGCGACGAUCAGUAGCCGAUCUGAGAGGAUGAACGGCCAGAUUGGGACUGAGGCACGGCGCAAACUCGUGCGGGAUGGAGCAGUGGGGGAUAGUGCACAAUGGCGGGAACCCUGAUGGAGCGGCGCCGCGUGAGUGGAGAAGUAUUUCGGUAUGUAAAGCUCUAUCAACAGUGAAGAUGGUGACAGUACCUGAAAAAGAAGCCCCGGCUAACUACGUG